UGUUUUAGUGUAAGUAUAUCCCAAAUAUUGCAUGGGACAUACUUAUGCUAAAAUAGUAGUUCUUGUUUAUCUGAAAUUCAACUCUUAUUAGGCAUCCUGUAUU
rnacentral:miRNA from 1 species